GUGGUCUGGGCAGCUUCCGACCGCCCUUCUCCUUGACUCACCUCCAGCUGGGAACGGCCCUGCUCAGCGACUGCGGACAGGGCGCCGCCCACACAGCGCCACAGCCCCGGACUGUCCCGGCGCGACGAGGACGCCCUACUCGGUGCCCCCGGGUGGGGCAGGUCGAGCCCGGUGCACUAUCCCUUUAAGCCUGGGAGAGAUGGGAGCUGUCAGCGACAACCCAGGCUAGCGCGGGACGUCGCCGCCCGUCAGGCCGGAGCGAGGAGCCGCAAAGCGAGUGGAGAGCGGAGGGGACAGCGGGGCCGGGGCCGGCGGGUACCCUCGCCGCCCACUGCGCACUCCAACCCUGGGCCCGGCGAGCCGCGGGCGGCACCAACGUAAUGCGGAGAAUGUGAGGCCGCGCAGGGCGGCGGGCAGCAGAGGGCGCGGGAGAGGGCGGCGGCGAUGUAGCCGGAGAGACAGCGGGAGAGACAGCGGCCCAGAAUCUGGGGGAGGGAAGGGAGAGAUAAGGAGAAAGGAGAGGAGGUCAAGAAGGGGCAGUGACAGAAGAGGGGAAAGGAAGGAGCAGGAGAGCACGCGGCUGCGGGCGGUGGCGCGGGCGAGGAGGGAGCCGGCUCCUUUGGGCGCGAGCGCCGGCAGCCCAAGUUGGGCGCCCCAGCCGGGGUUCAGGGAGCGUGGCCGCGGCCCGGCGUGGCAUGGUGGCGCAGCAGGGACGCCCGAGGGCUCCCCUCUGGGAGCCCCAAGGGACCUGAGACGAGGCCAGCCGGGAAGGGGACGCAGGUUCGCUAGCGAGCGCCGCUGGCCGCGUCUUGGGCUCUUUGUGGUCGCCCCAGGAGGGCGACUGGGGCGUGCGGAGCCGGGGGUGCGGCGGAGAGGUGCACGCGCACGAGAGUGUGAGCGCCCCGGAGUGUGGGAGCGCGCGUUAGAGAUUCUGUUGGCAUCGCUGCGUGGAGGGCAGGAGGCAGGAGCGGGCGCGCAGGGGAACGCGGGGGCUCUCCCGCGCACAAGCGCGCGCGCGCGCGCACACACGCCCUCCCUCCUCGCUGCUGCUGCCACCAUCUCGGAGCCGAGCCCUGUGGAACGGAAACCGGAGCCGGAGCGGGAAGCGGAGCGGAGGCGAGCCGGGGAUGCGGCCCCGGAACGGAGCUGCGCGCGAACUGCGCGCCCGGAACGCCUCCUGCGCCCACAGGCCCUGAGGCUCUGGUGCCCACCGGCAAAGAGGGCAACUGAGUGAAGCCCAGGCUGACCCCCAGCCCAGUUGCACCCCCAAACGCCUGCCUGAUGAGCUGCCUGACAACCCCGCAUCGCCCCGGGCCCUGGAAGAGGCCACCCCCAGACACCUUCCCAGGCCUGCUGGUGAUGCCUGAAACGCCCUCCGACUUCAGCCCAGGCGCCCUGUCAGCCUUCGGCAUCUGCUUGUCCAUUCGCCAGUUCUGGUGUGCAUCCCAGCUCAGCCAUGUCCAUUUGUGACCUUGGGCAAGGGACACAGUGUCCUGAAGCUGGUUUCCUCAUCAACUGGG
rnacentral:lncRNA from 1 species